GUUAAUGUAAAAUAAUUCACAACACUGUAGACGGUACAAGAGGCAAAACAGUUAUUAUGGUAUCAAUGCAGCAAUACAUGUGGAAACUGUCCAGCUGAUUCGUUUAUGGAAAGCGUAGUGUUACCGUUGUAAUGCGUUUAUAAGUGGUGCCAUUUUUAUAGUAUUAGCAUUUUACCAAUUUCAAUAGUCGCGCUACAUUUCUGCCUCCUUUGUUGAUAAUGCUGAUGUUAAUGCUUUUGUGAAAGGAUAUUCGAGAGUUCUAUGGUACGUUUUUGAAGAAGUGAUAUUUGUUUUAGCUUUGGUGUGAUGUCAUGGGGCUCAGGUGAAAGUAUCUACAUACAUGAUUGUAGGAAUCGUUGGAGGGUUCAUGUGUAAACGUUAGAGUCCAAAUAGGAUGGUUGCUAUUACUUUCGUCCUUGUAUACUUUAUUCAUGCUGAAAAAAGAAAGAACUGAUAAAUAUAUACAUAUAUAUAUAUGAAUUAGGGUUUGCCUUGAAUAUUCAGUUGGCACAUUGGUACUUGGACAUUAUCUCAUAAGAUAUGUUUUUCAGUUUUAAUAGGAGCAAAACUAGAUGCCUAAGAAAUCUGAGAACAUUUAAAUCAAAAUCACACCAAUAGGGAAAGAAGAGGGUCUCGAGAUGACAACGGACAUGCUCUUAUUACGGGGGUUUGUCAUGUUAAAUCGACGGAGCCCAUCACCAUGAGUCUAUUUAUUGAGCAGUAUAAACGCUGCCUCGGGCCACACUUCAUGUUUAUUGGCUCAUUUAUUAAAAGAGAACGCUCUGCUGUUUGUUCAUGAACUGCGGCGAAGAUUAAAAGCAUUUCGGCAUACGGCCCUGAUUUAUUUCUAGGUUUUUCUAACAGUCAACUGAUAGCGACCACGUAUGGUAACGGAGCCCAAAGAGCUCUCCAGACCCCAGAAUGUGAGCGAUUCCUGCCUUAGCUGGUGUAAGUGUGUAUUAUUUUGCACAGGGCCCAAGCAUGCCUGCCUGCCUGCCUGCCUGUCUGUCUACCCUGAAGGCCCCUGCUCAAACACAGCAGGGGGUCCUGGCAUUCUGACCCACAGCACUCGGGGCUGGUCACUCAGAACGGCGCAGAGCAACACUCCAUAUAAGUGAAGCAGCAGGGAAAGGGGGGGGGGGGGGGGCAAUGCUUUUGAUCUUGACCGCUGCAAUCCAUCCGUUUCGCCGCUUACCGCCGGUGUCCUCUCGACGAAGAGAGUGAUGCAAGACGCUUUUUUCGAAGCCCUUUUUCCUUAACCAAAAAUGUGCCUUACCGAUAGGACGACGCGUAGAUAUAUAGAUGUGUCCUUUCUAAAAUUCUAUCAAUAACUUAAAAGUGAUUUAUGAUUCUAGUGCUAUAGACACAGCAAUGUAUUUGGAAUUGUGAUUUUUUGUGUGCUGUCAAGAAAAGAAAAAAAUAUAUAAAGCUAAUCACCCUGCUGCAGCCAUGUGUGUGCCAAUAGGCUGAAGACAUUGUUUUAUUUUAUGUGCACUUUUCCUUUUUGGGUGUCUGUGGUGUGUGUGUGUGUGUGUGUGUGUGUGUGUGUGUGUGUGUUAGGCCUUCUGUGACUAUGGCCCAAGCGAAUAAAUGUAAAGCAAUGUCCAUCCCCAAAUUCCCAUUCAAAUGGUUGGAACCCUAAAAAUUCGCUCCAAGUCAAAAAGGAUAAUUGUGUGUAGAUCGAUUAUAGCUCAAAACUGUUGCAAUGGUGUUUUUCCUUCUUUUGCCGUGUGUCUCUACCGUGUGUAUGAUUAAUGACUAUCUAUACUCGACAAAAGAGCUUUCUUACUGCUGUGCAGUUAUUUUUGUUUCCUAUAACAUAUAUACCUUUGUAAAAACAUGUUGAAAUACUGUACUCUUCACUGUAUAAUCCUAUGCAUUGAGUCCUGGGGCGUGGGGGGAGGGGGGAAUUAAGUGUAUUUGUGCAGUUGUCGAGACAUUUUCUCCUCUCCCUUCCAUUUUGAAAACUUGUGAAAGUGCCGUGGUGAUAAAAACUAAACUGGAACGGUCUCAUUUUCAACGCUGGCGAAAGCAAUGUCCCUUUCAACCCGAGGCAGCUCACAAGCCAAUCUUGAUCUGUUUCGUAGUGGAUGAACUCACUCCUCCAAAGUUUAUGUGCGUGCGUGUGCGUCUGUGUGUGUGUGGAUGGAGCAUUUACACAUGGGUUUCAUCACCCACGCCACCGUGAAUAAAUUUCUCAGAGAUGUCUAA